rnacentral:lncRNA from 1 species
GAGCACUUCUGGUCACGCAGGACAAUUAGAGAGGAGAGAGAGAGAGAGCACUUCUGGUCACGCAGGACAAUUAGAGAGGAGAGAGAGAGAGCACUUCUGGUCACACAGGACAAUUAUAGAGGAGAGAGAGAGCACUUCUGGUCACACAGGACAAUUAGAGAGGAGAGAGAGAGAGAGCACUUCUGGUCACACAGGACAAUUAGAUAGUAGAGACAGAGAUGAGAGGACUUUGGUACACAGGAACAAUUAGAAAGAAGAGAGAAAGGGAGAGGACUUUUGGUCACACAGAACAAUUACGAUGAGAAGAAAGAGAGAGAGAAGAGAGAGAGGACUUUGGUCACACAGGACAUUAGUAGAAGACGG